rnacentral:rRNA from 1 species
CCUACGGGAGGCAGCAGUGGGGAAUAUUGGACAGUGGGCGCAAGCCUGAUCCAGCAAUGCCGCGUGUGUGAAGAAGGCCUGAGGGUUGUAAAGCACUUUCAGUGGGGAGAAAGAGGCCAUUGUUAAUACCAAUGGCGGAUGAUGUUACUCACAGAAGAAGCACCGGCUAACUCUGUGCCAGCAGCCGCGGUAAUA